rnacentral:rRNA from 1 species
UCCUACGGGAGGCAGCAGUGGGGAAUAUUGGACAAUGGGGGCAACCCUGAUCCAGCCAUGCCGCGUGUGUGAAGAAGGCCCUCGGGUUGUAAAGCACUUUCAGCGAGGAAGAACGCCUAGCGGUUAAUACCCGCUAGGAAAGACAUCACUCGCAGAAGAAGCACCGGCUAACUCCGUGCCAGCAGCCGCGGUAAUACGGAGGGUGCAAGCGUUAAUCGGAAUUACUGGGCGUAAAGCGCGCGUAGGUGGCUUGAUAAGCCGGUUGUGAAAGCCCCGGGCUCAACCUGGGAACGGCAUCCGGAACUGUCAAGCUAGAGUGCAGGAGAGGAAGGUAGAAUUCCCGGUGUAGCGGUGAAAUGCGUAGAGAUCGGGAGGAAUACUAGUGGCGAAGGCGGCCUUCUGGACUGACACUGACACUGAGGUGCGAAAGCGUGGGUAGCAAACAGGAUUAGAUACCCUGGUAGUCCACGCCGUAAACGAUGUCGACCAGCCGUUGGGUGCCUAGCGCACUUUGUGGCGAAGUUAACGCGAUAAGUCGACCGCCUGGGGAGUACGGCCGCAAGGUUAAAACUCAAAUGAAUUGACGG